rnacentral:lncRNA from 1 species
AUAUAAAAUAAAAGUUUCAAGAAAUAAUAAUAAGUAUGCUUUCUCUGCUAAUAUUUGCUUGACAUUUCCACCUAGCGAAAUAGCUCGUCUCAAGCGCGCAAGUCACUGCAAGUCGCGUACGCGUCGAGCGCGAGUCGGGCUUUUUCACGCUCGAGCUUGUCUGUUAAGGCAGCAUUGCACUUUCCGUUCAGGGAUCAAAUCCGCGCGUCGAUCAGUAUCUCUUGGAGCGUCAGACUAUAAAGAUGUCUGAAAAAAGGUGUAUAAUUUGUCUUGCGGGUGACCAGCCGCUAACAAGUACUUCUACUGGCUGUGAAAAAGUUCGAUGAGCUGCAACUGAGCGAGAUGAUACUGUAUUGAAAGAGAGAUUGCGGAAAUUUCAAUCAGAUGAACUGUUUAGUUAUCACAUGACCAAUUCGUGCUACAAAACUUAUACAGAUAAAAAUAAAGUAGAAAGAGCUUCUAAUAAAUUAUGCACAAAUAUCAAUAUUUCUUCCUCAAGCACAAGUAAAAGUAUUCCCGACACUUCACGAAAAGUAACAAGAUCGCAGUCAACCGUAAGUGGGGUAAGCACUAAAAAAAUAUGUGUUGUGUGCGGAUAUGGAAUUUUGAAAAACAAAGAAUUAUAUAGAAUAUGCGAAGUUGAAAGAGCUACGCGUUUACUUAAAAUGGCUAAUUUCUGGAAAGAAUAUGUUUUUACACGUGUAUGUCAUUUGCAAAAUUCAGAUGAUGUAUUUGCUGCUGAUUUAUAUUAUCAUAGUAAGUGCUUGAGAUCAUAUAAGCAAAAAUAUUCACGAGAAGUUGAUACUAGCGGCGAAUUACAGGACGAUAUUAAUAGCUCUAACAAUGAUACGGUAAAUUUGUUUACAAGCAAGAGUGAAGCAAUAAAAAUCGUAGUUGAUUCUGUUAUGGAUCGAGUAAAAUCUGGUGAAAUAUUUUCGUUAUCUAAGAUUCGAGAUCAAAUAAAUAAUCUUAAUUUUAAAAAAAGAAAAAUUGAAAACAGAGAUGUAAAAAAUUAUUUGAUAAAAAAUUAUGGCGACCAAAUAGAAUAUUCUGUACCUUCGAAUUGCAGUAAAAGUACUUUAUUUUAUGCUUCAAGUGUAACUAUUGAUCAAGUGAUAGAUACCGUUCAACCUGAAAAUACAGACAUGUGGUACACAUUAUGCGAGAUCAAUUAAAGGAUUUUUUCUGCUUGGAGAACCGUUAGAGCGUCUUUUAAUAGAAGCUUUUUUGAUGAAUGCAAUUCGAAUGAAUAUGAUAGUGAAUUAACAACAAUACAGGCACUACAGGAUGCAUUUUCAGAAAAAAGUUUUGACGAAUGCAGGUCGCUUUUUAAGAUAUUCAAUGAAAAUUUUGAAAAAUUAAUGAAUGAUUUUAAAAAUUUUAUUAAAAAAAGAAGUGAAGAGUCAAUGUCGUUUAAAUAUUGGGUGAAUGUUUUAAUGCUGUUGCAAAUGGAACUUGCACGUAAAUACGUUUAAAAAUUUUUUUCCAAUCUUACUUAUCUUUGACCGCACGAAUUACACUCGCUGGUGCUCACUUUAUGUUCAAGAUAUCGUUCAAUUGCCAGAAAAAAAACAGAAAUAUACGAAGAAUUUUUGAAAGGCAAAUUCGUUGUCAAGAGGUCGCCGAUUUCUGGUGCGUCAGUUGCGACUGAUCAAGGUCUUGAGCAAACGAUCAAUCGAGCUCAAAAGAGUAAUUCAGGAAUCAUAGGUUGCACGAAAAAAAAAGAAUUUGUUGCAUCGUGGAAUUUAAAUUACCACGAAAUAUUAUCUAUCAGUAAUUAUUAUAGAGAAGUAACAAAUGUCAGACCAGAAAAUGAUGAGUUACAAAUUCAUCAUGAUUAUACUUCGACUGACAAUCAACGGUCUGAACAAGAAGUCGAUACUAUCAUACAAUUCAUUACUUCUCAUAGUAAUCCCUUUGAAAAAGGUGAACAGCAGCUUCGAAAUAUUGUAACUCAAGAGCUUGUAAAUUCUGAGAAUACCGAGGCUCUCUUAAAUAUUUUUCAGAAUAGCUGAAACUUGAUAAACAUUUUUAUAAUGAAAGAUUUGUUGACAAAGUAAAAAGCUUGUCUGAUAAAAUAUCUAAUGUGAAUUUACCAAAUUUCAAGACGCAAAAAAAAGCACAGUCUAAUGUAGAUAAAAGUGUUUCUAAUAAAAAAAUUAAUGUAAUGGCUCAUAAAAUAAUCGAUAUUGCAAAAGAAAGAAAUUUUAGUUUAGAAAGAUUAUUUUCGUUUGAGUUAUGCCCAAAUAAUAUUUUAUUCAACGAUGAUGGUUCAUUAAAGAAAGAAACUAGCAAAAGCGAUCUUGUCAAAGUAUUAGAAAAACAAACCGAUGUUCAAUGCAAUGUAGAUGUGAGAGAUUUUCAUAGUUUUACUUUAAUUGUAGACGUUAUGAUCAUUUGUAGACAAUUGAGCUUCAAAAAGAUGGAUACAUUUGGAGACUUUGCAAAAGCUUUUUGUGGCUCAGUUUCCAACAUUUCGAACCAAGCAGCACAUCGAAUCGACUUUGUUUUUGAUUCUUACACAGACACAUCUAAGAAGUUUGUAGAAAGACUGAUUAGAUAUCAAAAUUAAUCAAUAGAUAUACACGUAAUUCAUGAAAACGUACCUACUCCGAAAGAAGAAAAACUGUUUUGGGGAUCAAAUAAAAAUAAAGUUUGAUUGCAGAAUUCUAUUCGCAAAUACGUCCUGGAAAAAAGCUCGAGUAUUUGGUCAGGUGUAGAAAUUAUAUGCAGUGCUACCAAUGAACUAUCAUGCGAAUCUAAUCAUACCAUAGACAAUUUAAAAUUGAAAGAAUUACAACGAAACGAGAUUGAAGAGGCAGAUUCUAGAAUUAUUAUACACGUCAUGCAAGCUAGCAGAGAGGGUGAAAAAAAAAUAGUAGUUUUGUCGUCUGAUACUGAUGUUGUAAUGUUGUUGCUAUAUUAUUGGGUUAAAUUCGAAGAGAAAAACUUAAAGGAAUCGUGGAUUAGAGUAGGAGCAGCAGCAAAAAAAACGGUUUUUACUUGUACAUAUUGUUGCUAAACAUGAACAAACUGGCAUUCAACUUUGUUCAACGUUGCUAGCAGUACACCACCUUACAGGCUCUGAUUACACCAGCAAAAUUGGUACCAAAUAUAGUGCUUUACAAAGUAGUCCCAAAAAAUUUCUUAGAAGCUUUGCCCAAGGUAUAUCGAAGUUAGAAAUAGAAAAUUCUAUCGAGGAAGCCGAGAAAUACCUUGUGCAAGUGAUA